AUGACCCCGAGAAAAGGUUUUACCACAUUGGUCACACCAGUACGGUUUCUCUCCAGUGUGAAUGCGUUGGUGUUUUUUAAGGGAACUACCAUGAGAAAAAGUUUUACCACAUUGGUCACACCAGUAUGGUUUCUCUCCAGUGUGAAUGCGCUGGUGGUUUUUAAGGGAACUAGCCUGAUUAAAAGAUUUCCCACAUUGGUCACAGCAGUACGGUUUCUCCCCAGUGUGAAUGCGUUGGUGGACUUUAAA